rnacentral:lncRNA from 1 species
AACCGGUAACCAUGAGAACAUCGGCAAGACUGGGGGAAGCUGGGCCGUGACCAAAAAGGAAGGCAUUGAGGGUAUCAGGCCAGAAGUAUGAGGCAGCUAUCAGUAGUGACUCAUUUCUCUCCAUAUCGGCAAUAGAUAGCCUGAUGCAUUGAUCUAGUUUGCGUUCACCCCAAAACACUUCAUUCGUGUCGCUAACCCUCACGAACCAAUCCUUCCAUCCCUUGGUAGAACUUGGCCAGGAUCGGAAGGUAUCUUUCCACAGAUCUAAAGAAAAGUUCUUGGCUCUAAAGGGAAUUCAAUUUGUCUCUGCAUUAAUCAGAUCGGUAGGAUCUGGAUUACCCAGUGGACCGAGGCAUUGAAGGUGAGGUUGCUCGGUAGGAAUGACAAUUUUCUCACUCAGUUCCUAAGGUUUGAAGAUUGGAGGAACAGAAAAAAAGAAAGAAGAAAGAAAAAUGCUAAGUAAGUAAACUUGCAAAAAGUAAAGAGGUGCGGCAAAUGGAAGAAAGAUGGGAAUAGAUUAACCUCAGGGAUGAUGAAGUUGACGGCCAUUGCUUCCCGGAGAAGAAGAAGAUCAUAGACUUGAGAAACUGUUGGGGAGGAUUUUGCUGAAGUUCUUGGGUUCUUCAACGAUACCGCCGCC